rnacentral:lncRNA from 1 species
ACAUCAAAUCCCAAGCAAAAAUCAUAUCACCUUAACCAAAUCGAACCCCAGACAAAUCAUAAGUAUCAUAGAUGCUUUUCAAAUAAAACCAAAGACAUAUCGACUUUUCCGGUUCCAUUCUUUCUCCUUUCCCGUUAUUUUCUCUCUUUUUUUUUCUUUUUAUUUUUUCUUUUUUUUUGGACGGGGGAGUAGAAUCGGUUCUCGUCUCACAAAGUGCAUCAACAAAACUCAAUCAUGAUUGCUCACAGCACAUGCUCAUGAAUAUAUAAAUAUAAUCACAAGAACUCAAUGUCAAUCACCCCAAACAACUACAGUUACAAUCCUAAUUAAAGGAAAGCUAUAUCGGUCUGUAUACUCCGUAGUUUUUGCACAUAAUGACAAUGACAAUGACAUACGAAUGCAUGUGGUCUGAAACAUGGAUAGGGCUAAAGGUGUGCUACUAGACUAAAUAUGAGUCUAGCCAUUGAGAGUUUACAAAGAGUGGUAAAAUACGCGAACUAAACUCUGAAUGUAUGAUCCAUUACAUGAUUGCCAACCCCCUAAGUGAGAUAUAACAAGUCAAGAUUAAGUUCAAAUAAGCAAGGUUAAGCUCAAAUCAUCCAAAUUUCUAAGUGAGGGAUUAUACGAGUGAUUAUCAAUAUCAAACAAAACUCCUAACUAAGAUUCUGCAAGAAGAGAUCUAGACAUUUCAGGCAUUGAAAACUUAAACUCGAGAUCAUAAAAAUUCAAAGCACAAUGAUAUUCAAUAUGAAAACAUAUCUCAUGGUAAUCUUUAGCAAGUUUUUCUGCUCUAAUAGUAUCUAGCUGUUGAGACUCACCUAUCAAAUCAUAACAUUCACUGAUAAUCUUGGGAGUAUGCAAACUAGAAUCAACAUCUUCAAUGAAAGGCAUAGAAAAAUCCUCAAAAUCAUGAAUUUCAAAGGUUGAAACGCAUGUACCUUCUAUGUCGCUCGGUGGAACCCAAUAUAUUACAUUUUCAAGAUCAUGGGCUUCUUUGAUCUCAUAGCCUGUGAGUUGCCUUCCUUCAUAUGCUGCCCGCAACGAUAUGAGGUUCAACCGGAUCAUAGUCGCUAAGUCACUCCUUGUCAAUGUUGGAUUGUCCACGUAAAGUUCAUCUAACUUCACUUUUGUUCCGGUGUAAGAACACUCUCAUCAAAUGGUGGCUCUAUAUAUGGCACAUCCUCUUCUUCUUGUGGCCAAUCAUUGAAUUUCAUGGCCAACAACUCCCAAAUCACCAAAAAGAAAUAAAAAUUGUUAGUUAUAAAAAAGUGUAGAGAAAAUGCUCUAGACUAAAAACUAAUCCUAAAUCUUUAAGUAACGCAAUUGCUCUCUGGCAGCGGGGCCAACUUGAUUACUCGAGUAUUUAACCCGAUAUAUUAACCGGAGUAAAGUAUAUGCGGGAUCGAUCACAAGGAGCAAUGGUACACUAAAGACUUGCGAGACUCAUUCUUAGCUAAAGCAGAAAAGACUUGUUGUUUGGUUUUUCAGUUUGUAAAUAAAAAUGCAACAAUAAACUGUGAUGAAACUUAUGAAUUAAGGACAUUGGGAAGCAGGGUAUUUUCAGAGAAUCAAUGAAUAACAAAUAAAAGCGAUAAGGAAUUCAAACAUGAAGAGCCGUUCUUAAACAUGAACACAAGUUUAGACUAACUCUCUCUCAAAACAUUAAUCACUAAAUUUAACUAUUCAAUUACUAAACUCUCAUUUGUAAUUUCAUAGCCAAAUUCACAUUAUCAAACAUGUUCAUUUGGUUCACAAAGCAUUUUAACAUCAACUCUCGCAGGUUAGAAAUAUAAUGCUCAAUUUACAUUCCUUCAGGCAUUUUAUCGAACAUCUCUGAAACACAUAAAAGCCUAAGUUCUAAAACAGGGUGAUCAAUCCUAUUAUAGCAUUGAGAACAUGUAAAUUGAAGAACCUAAAGAUUAAGAAUUCCCUAAGACAUCUAAUCUAUCAAAUCAUUGAAUUCUCCUACUUGAAACCCUAAAACCCAAUUAAGAAACUACUCAAACAUAGCAAAAGAGAAAACAAAAAUCAUAGAUGAAGAAAACAUGAUGAAAUUUCAGAAACAAUAAGAAAGGGUUUAGAAAUCUUCUCCAAGUGUCAAGAGGAUGGAUUCUUCUCCCAAAAUUGUUUAAGAAGCAAAGAACAACGUUUAGAACUCAAAAAUAUGAAGGAUAGCUGCUAAAAAGUCGAGCCUAGGGUAUAAAAACAAUAGGAGACGAUUUGGGUCGGUUAUGAAGUGUUUCGUAUAAAAUAUGGGCCAAAAAAUGCGUCAGAGGUAAGGGACCGAUCGAUCCAAAUGUUAGACGGAUCGGUCUAAUGCUCCCAGGUUUUACUUCUGCAUUAGCUUCAAAAACUCGUCAGAAUGACCUGUCUUCUCAAAAUCAGGCGUAACUCGUGAAUGCACUGUUAGAUGUUCUUGAAAUCACUUGCAAAUAAAAGCUAACACCUGUCUUCAUUUUGUGUCAAAAUAUGAGCAAGAGCUAACGGUCGAAAGUUGUCCAUAUGAUCUCAAACAUCUGACACUUCUACAUGAAUCUGCAUCUCCAAAUGUGUGUUUGCAUCCCAAAACGGCUCAUUUUAUUUCAAAGCAACCUAAAACCUGUAAAGAUUCUAUACUGGACUAAAAGACUCUAAAAACACACUUUGACUCAAUAAAAAUUAUAAAAUUAAAGAGAAAAAAGACUUGUCGAUAAAAACACAAUAUAUCAACUCCCCCCGACUUAGAUUCUUGCUUGUCCUCUAGCAAAACAAAAAUCUUAACCAAGAGAAUAGAUUUGAAAACAUGAGAACUCACAUAUUCUUUUGGGAUCAUGCUCUUAAUCAAUUCCUUGCAAACCACUACCACACAUUUUAUAUUAAACCGUACAAUAAUGUACUUCACCAUGACAUCAUGAGAUCCCUAAAGCACAAAGAACUUUAUAAUCAAAUAAAUUUACCGUUUAACAUUCAUUAGCAGUUUUGGCACUCUCAAAAAGGGAAUAUCGAACACGUUAUGGUCUAGGUGUAAAAGCAGUUUUAGGUGGCUCAAGUGUUUAAGGUUCAGCAGUAAUACGAACGGAUGCAAACAUUAAGCAAAAUCACACUGAGACACAGACCAAUUGGGAGGUACAUAACUUCCCUCUAACUCGGAUCACCUUAACCACAUCAAAUCCCAAGCAAAAAUCAUAUCACCUUAACCAAAUCAAACUCCAGACAAAUCAUAAGUAUCAUAGAUGCUUUUCAAAUAAAACCAAAGACAUAUCGACUUUUCCGGUUCCAUUCUUUCUCCUUUCCCGUUAUUUUCUCUUUUUUUUUUCUUUUUCUUUUUUAUUUUUUUUAGACAGGGGAGUGGAAACGUCUCACAAACUGCAUCAACAAAACUCAAUUAUGAUUGCUCACAACACAUGCUCAUGAAUAUAUAAAUAUAAUGACAAGAACUCAAUGUCAAUCACUCCAAACAACUACAGUUACAAUCCUAAUUAAAGAAAAGCUAUGUCGGUCUGUAUACUCCGUAGUUUUUGCACAUAAUGACAAUGACAAUGACAUACGAAUGCAUGUGGUCUGAAAC